AUUUACAAUGCAAGGACGAGGCGUGUGGCAAUGUAGAGCCUGUGUUGCAACUAAUUUGCGAGACGAAUCUUUUAAGCCUAAUUGCUCUAUGAUUUGAUAAUUUGCUAUGACAGAUUAAUUAAGCUUAAUAAAUUCAUCUCGCGGUUUAUUGAUAGAUUCUAUAAUGUAAUUAGUUUUUUU
rnacentral:misc_RNA from 1 species